rnacentral:lncRNA from 1 species
GUGGAAAUAACAGAGUCCUAUAUUAUGAUUUAGACAACAAGAAUUCUUGCCUCUGAUCUAUUGUGACCAAGUGUGUCAUCUUAGGGAGGUAUGGUCGUGAAGAGCACCGAUUACAGAAGGAGAAUUGCAACUGCUUUGCACCAAAGACAAGAGGCCAAAAGAAAGGCAUUCCUCAUCUUGAAAGCCUAGUUUUGAAAUCCCAGAGCCAAAAUUUGGACCCAAAGUGAUAGAUUUUUGAAAGCCUGCAUGUUGAAG